UAAAGGUAUUUGCAUCUGCUAAAAAACAAAGUUAGACAAGAGAGUAGGGGAAUCCGACAGUGUAUGUUGAGAGACAAGAGCAUCACAUCUUCCUUCCCACUUCACACAACCGAGUAAAAAAAAUAGAACUGUUGCUUAGCCCAUGUCUGCAGAUCCAAGAGGGAGAGUACUCUUGAGGUACUAAGGAUGCAAAAUCACCUAGAAGCUCCUGGAGGUAUUAGUCUUGCAUCAGUUGCUAAAGCAGAUCUCACAGCUGGAUGGAGAGAGAACAACUAGUAGGGACCCAAAUCAUUGAUGAAGUUUAAUCUAGCUAUCUCAUGUGCAACCUUGUUGUUGUUUCUAGGAAUCCAUAAGAAAGCACACCACUGGAAAUUCCUCCUCAGAUUAAGGAUAUCUGAAACAAUACUAUGGAUCUCACCUUGUCCUUUCCCAUCUCUGCAUGCCUCAAUCAAGGAGCUUCUGCCAUGAGAGCUGAAUGUGAGAACGCUUUAGAAACAGAUCCAGUAACCAGUAGACCAGCUUCAUCCCUCACAGCAAUACCAAUGGAGCACACAGGGGAGGAAGAUUUCCAACUGGCUUCAGUGUUCAAUUUGAGCAUCCCAGGUAAGGGAGGUUUCCACGGUCUUUCAUUGACGGUGGAGCCAUAUGGGCUCACCCUUUGUUUAAUUAUGACUGGUUUUGUAGCUGAUAGAUCAUGAAUCAUAUUUGAAAUUUGCCUAAUGGUGGCUUCAGGGUUUGGCACUUCCUGUUGGAAGACAACUCUGUUCCUUCCCUUCCAAAUAGCCCAUAGAGUAAGGCUGAAAAUUGAAGAAUCCUCCUCUGGAUGGUUAGAGACUGAAUUUAGGAAAUUGAACUGUUGUAGAAUCCAAAGAUGUAAACCCUCCAUAUUCUGGGCCUCUGCAUAGUUGACACAGUUGGUCCUCCUCUUUGGGCCCAUGACUCAUUGUGAGUCCUAUCAGGAGGACUUAACUUCCAAAAUCACUGAAGCUUUGAACAGAGCCAGAACCUUCCAAUCUAAAAUUCCCUCCUUCAUGACUGUCAUGAAACCUUCCUGUUAAUGGAUAUUCCUUGGUGAGAUUUAUUUUAUCCUUAUUUUUAUCCAUUAAGAUAGCUUUAUAUAAUGAAGCAGUAUAACUUGUUAGGUUUUCUGACAUGUAUAAAAAUAAUCCAGCACAUCUCAUCAUUAUUUGCAAAAAAAUAUUUGAAGAAUGAAACAGGUGUCGUUCUGCAAGUCUUGGAUGGGAGAACUUGGUCUGUUAGUUUUAACCUCGGCAAAUUCAAUGCUGGGUGGAAGAAAUUCACAUCAGUUAAUAAUUUGAAGGUGGGAGAUGUAUGUCUUUUUGAGCUAAACAAGAGGGUACCCCUUUCAUUAAAAGUAUUGAUCUUUCCACUUGCCGAAGAACUGCAUUCGCCGCCUUGAUCACAAGGUGCGGAGACAAUUAGAAGAACUUCAAAGCUAAUUAGCCCCCGCCCCUUGAGAAAUGCUGCUCUAAAAGAAGCUAACAAAUUCAACUCAAACAAUCCCUUUUUCAUAGUCAAUUUAGCACCAAAUAUGAACCGAGAUCACAGGCCGCGUGUACCAAAUCUCUUCAUCAAAAAGUACUUCAAUGACAUGCAGUAGACCAUAAUGAUACAGUUUGAAAAGAAAUUGUGGCCUGUGAAGUUGAUUUGUUAUCCAAAACAAGGUUCGGGCAAGUUGUCAAAAGGUUGGGUCGAAUUUGCUAGAAAAAAUAAAUUGGUAGUUGGAGAUGCUUGUGUCUUUGAGCUCAUCAAUAUGAAAGAUCCGGUGCUUGAUGUUCACAUUUUCAGAGGUCACUGAUAUUUGAAGUUGUUAGUAGUUAGUACCAUGAAAAAUGUACCAAUGCUUAUAAAUGCAAUUGACAAAAACAUUAAACUAACAUUUGAUGUAUUAUGUCUACGUUGAUAAAUACUCAGUUAGUCAUGUAUGAAUGAAAUUUUCCUACUUUGUGCAAUGAAA